CUUCUCUCUGGCUGCAGGUGGUAUUGCUCCAUAUGCCUGAGACCCUAACAAAAGCCUAAUUACAACUCAUAUGCCUGGAGCCAGGACAUGUGCAGGAUGCCAUGAUGGUCCAAGUUAUAUUGGGAUUCAGCCAAUAGAAGAUAUUUUGCCUGUCAUCCCUAAGCUUAGGACAAUAGACUCUGCCAAGAGAGGGGAUUAUUACAUAUUGCAGAGCCCAGCACCUAGGUGGAGUGACUCUCAUCUUUUUCUUCUACCCCGUAUAUAGCCAGCUUGGUGACCUACUAUUUGAGUCUAUACCCAGGCCCAGACCACAGAUGAAAUUGUGCAAUAUGUGGAACAAACACCUAAACAAUAUAUAACACCUUCCUUGGCUCUGUCUACAAAGGGCACUUUUAUAUAUCACUGGGACCAUCAACCAGGUGAUGUUAAUUAUCUUCCUGAAACCUGUCUACAAAGAGAGUUGUGUCGUAUACCUAGGCCCGUCAUGUGAUGUUGUGCCAUAUAACUGAGACCGUAUCAAAAGCCUAAUAACAAGACGUAUGUCUGGAGCCCCGAUAUGCACAGGAUGGUGAUAUAACCCUCUUCUCUGGAAUGGGCCCCACACAAAGGAAGGAUAGUGACAUAUUGCAAGCCCAGGCACACAGGCCCAGAGCACAGUUGAAAUUGUGACAUAUGUACACCAAGCAACCAAGCAAUGUAUAACACCUCAUUUGGCAAUGGAAUCGAGGGCACUUUUACAUAUCACUGAGACCAGCGCCCAGCUGAUGUGAAAUAUUGGCCUGAACCCUGCCUACAAAAGCAUUGUGGCUUUUAUCUAGCUCCAUUACAUAAGUGAUGUGACUUCCUUCUACUGCCUUGGCCCUGCACUUAUGGUGAAUCGUGACACAAAAUUGGGUAGAGCAACCAGCCUGGGCCCUGACCAGCACAGAGAUUGAGGCAUAUUGCUGAACCCAGGACCAAGAUGAAGUCACUCUCCUGCCUUGAUCCUGCACACAGGGACCCUUGUGACAUAUAUACAGGCCAAUUGCCUAGGUGAUGUUGUGCAAUAUACCUGAGACC
rnacentral:lncRNA from 1 species